rnacentral:rRNA from 1 species
GAUGAACGCUGGCGGCGUGCCUAACACAUGCAAGUCGAGCGAUUCUCUUCGGAGAAGAGCGGCGGACGGGUGAGUAACGCGUGGGUAACCUGCCCUGUACACACGGAUAACAUACCGAAAGGUAUGCUAAUACGAGAUAAUAUACUUUUAUCGCAUGGUAGAAGUAUCAAAGCUCCGGCGGUACAGGAUGGACCCGCGUCUGAUUAGCUAGUUGGUAAGGUAACGGCUUACCAAGGCGACGAUCAGUAGCCGACCUGAGAGGGUGAUCGGCCACAUUGGAACUGAGACACGGUCCAAACUCCUACGGGAGGCAGCAGUGGGGAAUAUUGCACAAUGGGCGAAAGCCUGAUGCAGCAACGCCGCGUGAGCGAUGAAGGCCUUCGGGUCGUAAGCUCUGUCCUCAAGGAAGAUAAUGACGGUACUUGAGGAGGAAGCCCCGGCUAACUACGUGCCAGCAGCCGCGGUAACAUACUCGUA